GAUGAAGAACGUAGUGAAAUGCGAUAAGUGAUGUGAAUUGCAGAAUUCAGUGAAUCAUCGAAUCUUUGAACGCACAUUGCGCCCGCCAGUAUUCUGGCGGGCAUGCCUGUCUGAGCGUCAUUUCAACCCUCAUGCCCCUAGGGCGUGGUGUUGGGGAUCGGCCAAAGCCCGCGAGGGACGGCCGGCCCCUAAAUCUAGUGGCGGACCCGUCGUGGCCUCCUCUGCGAAGUAGUGAUAUUCCGCAUCGGAGAGCGACGAGCCCCUGCCGUUAAACCCCCAACUUUCCAAGGUUGACCUCAGAUCAGGUAGGAAUACCCGCUGAACUUAAGCAUAUCAAUAAGCGGAGGA
rnacentral:misc_RNA from 1 species